CCUACGGGAGGCAGCAGUGAGGAAUAUUGGUCAAUGGGCGGGAGCCUGAACCAGCCAAGCCGCGUGAGGGAAGAAGGUACAGCGUAUCGUAAACCUCUUUUGUCAGGGAACAAAGGCGGGGACUAGUCCCCGGAUGAGGGUACCUGAAGAAAAAGCAUCGGCUAACUCCGUGCCAGCAGCCGCGGUAAUACGGAGGAUGCGAGCGUUAUCCGGAUUUAUUGGGUUUAAGGGGUGCGCAGGCGGCCGGUUAAAUCAGCGGGAAAAGCCCGGGGAUCAACCCCGGCGAGCCGUGGAAACUGGCGGGCUGGAGUUGGAGAGAAGUACGCGGAAUGCGCGGUGUAGCGGUGAAAUGCUUAGAUAUCGCGCAGAACCCCGAUUGCGAAGGCAGCGUACCGGCUCCACACUGACGCUGAGGCACGAAAGCGUGGGUAUCGAACAGGAUUAGAUACCCUUGUAGUC
rnacentral:rRNA from 1 species